rnacentral:rRNA from 1 species
UACGAAGGGGGCUAGCGUUGUUCGGAAUCACUGGGCGUAAAGGGCGCGUAGGCGGCUGUUCAAGUCGGGGGUGAAAGCCUGUGGCUCAACCACAGAAUUGCCUUCGAUACUGGACGGCUGGAGACCGGAAGAGGUCAGUGGAACUGCGAGUGUAGAGGUGAAAUUCGUAGAUAUUCGCAAGAACACCAGUGGCGAAGGCGGCUGACUAGUCCGGUUCUGACGCUGAGGCGCGAAAGCGUGGGGAGCAAACAGG